rnacentral:rRNA from 1 species
UACGUAGGGUGCAAGCGUUAAUCGGAAUUACUGGGCGUAAAGCGUGCGCAGGCGGUUUUGUAAGUCUGCCGUGAAAUCCCCGGGCUCAACCUGGGAAUUGCGUUGGAGACUGCAAGGCUGGAGUCUGGCAGAGGGGGGUAGAAUUCCACGUGUAGCAGUGAAAUGCGUAGAUAUUGGAAAGAACACCGAUGGCGAAGGCACUCUACUGGGCUAUUACUGACACUCAGAGACGAAAGCUAGGGGAGCAAAUGGG